AUUUACAUAGUUUAAAAAAAACAUUACAUCUUCGUUGUAAAAUUAAACCCCAAUUUUGUAA
rnacentral:tRNA from 1 species